GGUUGCGUGGCCUAAUGGUAAGGCGUUGCUUUCCGGUGUCCCAAACAGGAAUCUGGCAAAGAUUGUGGGUUCGAGUCCCAUCGCAAUCG
rnacentral:tRNA from 1 species